rnacentral:rRNA from 1 species
AUUCGCGGCCUAUCAGCUUGUUGGUGAGGUAACGGCUCACCAAGGCUUCGACGGGUAGCCGGCCUGAGAGGGCGACCGGCCACACUGGGACUGAGAUACGGCCCAGACUCCUACGGGAGGCAGCAGUGGGGAAUAUUGCACAAUGGGCGAAAGCCUGAUGCAGCAACGCCGCGUGCGGGAUGACGGCCUUCGGGUUGUAAACCGCUUUCAGUUCCGACGAAGCGCAAGUGACGGUAGGAACAGAAGAAGGACCGGCCAACUACGUGCCAGCAGCCGCGGUGAUACGUAGGGUCCGAGCGUUGUCCGGAAUUAUUGGGCGUAAAGGGCUUGUAGGCGGUUUGUCGCGUCGGAAGUGAAAACUCAGGGCUUAACCCUGAGCCUGCUUCCGAUACGGGCAAACUAGAGGGAUGCAGGGGAGAACGGAAUUCCUGGUGGAGCGGUGGAAUGCGCAGAUAUCAGGAGGAACACCGGUGGCGAAGGCGGUUCUCUGGGCAUUACCUGACGCUGAGAAGCGAAAGCGUGGGGAGCAAACAGGCUUAGAUACCCUGGUAGUCCACGCCGUAAACGGUGGGCACUAGGUGUGGGGGACAUUCCACGUUCUCCGUGCCGAAGCUAACGCAUUAAGUGCCCCGCCUGGGGAGUACGGAAU